UACGUAGGGUGCAAGCGUUGUCCGGAAUUAUUGGGCGUAAAGAGCUCGUAGGCGGUCUGUCGCGUCUGCUGUGAAAACUCGGGGCUUAACCCCGGGCCUGCAGUGGGUACGGGCAGACUAGAGUGCGGUAGGGGAGACUGGAAUUCCUGGUGUAGCGGUGAAAUGCGCAGAUAUCAGGAGGAACACCGGUGGCGAAGGCGGGUCUCUGGACAGUUCCUGACGCUGAGGCGCGAAGGCCAGGGGAGCAAACGGG
rnacentral:rRNA from 1 species